CCGAUUUGUUUCGUGUCCAAGUUCAAUUGUCCUGUUCUGUAAUUUGCCUUCCACCCGAAGUUGACUAACUGAUGCAGUUUUUCCCAGCGCCUUUAAAUAGAUGUAGUCUGUUAAACCUACGCAGUGAAUAGGAGCUGAUAAUGUAUUUAACAAGUUGAGAUAGUUUUCGGCUCUACAGCAAAGAAGACAGUUUUACAGGAUAAUUGUAUCGUAAAUUUACGAGUUUCAUCUCAAAUUACUUAAUUUUGGAAGUCGAGAACGGUAGAUUUCAACAUUUUCCGACGCAGAUUAACCCGCCUCCAACGCAACUUUAAUCCGAUAGUUCCACACGUUGGCCACAUAUUAUACGAUCUUUCAUUUUUUAAAAGCGGUAGAUUUGAAUUUGUUUGUUCGGUUUUCAAAUCUCCCUCUUUAUAUUUUUCAUUUUUGACCGAAGUAUAAACGCGGCCCACACUAAUACCUAGGUAAGGGACGGAAUUUUUAAAUUACAACUCUGUAGUCAGUUUUAUUUGUUAAUAAGUUGGUGGGUGUCGGCUUCUGGCCAUGUCUAGGAACAAGCAGUUGAGUGAUUCUACUUCUAAUCUUUGAAUUAUCUUGACGUGAAACGGCGAUAACUGAUAAACGUGAAAGCGGAUAACUGCUGGCACACAAGCAGAAGUUUCAUUGGCUGUCCAACAAAUUUGGGCGCAAUCACCUUGGAGACGGAACGGACGAUGGAAUCAGCCCAGACUUAAUCCAUUUUUGGGGUAUGUGAAAUUUAAUUUUCUUGUGGUUUCAAUCGGGUCUGAUGCCUCGCCUAAUUAUGGUCUGUCGUUGUUAAGUUUACGGCUCAUUCUGAUAUCUGAUGUCUUCCGGGUAUACCACCAAAGAUCAGCAAAUCGAAACGAAAUCUUUUCUUUGUUAAUUUUUUAUCGUAGGGCUGGAAUGUCCUAAUUUGAUUUACUAUUGGGACUUCUGGGUCGAAUUUGUCUCGAUUUCUAUUAACUUUUUUUUCACUUUCCGCCAUUUCAGAUACAUUUUUAUUCCCAUUACUACUGCGAGUAAUCCGAUUUAAGUUGUGGGCAUAAUUAUGUUUGUUUGUUUCAUCGAAUAAACAGGAAUACGAAUUUCUUGUUUUUCGCCUCUCCUCUGCUGUUACUCCAUUGGCAUUUCGUAAUUUUCAUUUCACUUUAAAUUUCCAUCCUCCAUUUCCAUUUUCCUAGUAAUUUGAAAAAAGGUGGGCGGGGGCGGGGCUUUGUUGUCGUAGACUUGGCCAGAGUAAUUUUGUUUCCAUCCUAGAAUAUUAGACCAUUGGAGGUACAGUGAGGACCCUUAAUCCAUUUAAUCAGGACGAAUUCCGGUUUUUCCAUUGUUUGGUAUCCAUUAUCAAUUCCUAUCAUUUGGCCGACCGUUCUGGAAUUCUAUUCCUGUAUCCUGAAGUGGAAUUUAUCAUUAGAAUCUAUCGAAUCCGACAAUUUUAAUACAAUUUAAUUUGGUUGAUAUCUUACCUACAAACGGACCGACACGGGCUUUCCUCUAGAUUUAAUUUCUCGUCUCUAAUCUUCAUCUCCAAUCACUUGUUUGAACCUAACCACAGUUUGUUUGAUAUAAGUGUUAACUUUAAUAUAAUUUUAAUUUUUGUCUCUCGAUACCCACCACCUAUUAAUCAUCAAUCAGCAUCAGCACAGGGGAAUAGAGAGACACUUCUACUCCCCUAAUGUUAAGGAUGUUCAGCAAUGAAUUUAUACGCAGAGUAGUUAAAGUUAAAAGAAACGAUGGUGAAUCUCCUCCGAUUAUUUCCCGUCAAAAAGUUAUUGACUCAGUAAUUGCACGAUUACGUUACAUAAUUUUUCGUAGUCGUUAUUCUGAUGCAAGCAUUGCUCAAUUGCAUUGGAAAUAAUGAUUUGUUUUUUAAAUGUUCUAAAAAUGAGAAAGUUAAUUGCAAAUGACGUCAUUCCGUUAGUUUUAUUCCUUAUUUAGGCUACAUCCAGCAUACACCGUGCCUCUAGCCGUUAACUGUCAAAACUUCCUGCUUUAGCAAGUGUCAAUUUGUGUUUCAUUUUUAUUUGGCUUAUAAAAAUUUCUACUCUCUACUCUGGAUGCCGAUUGGCUGUCGAAUGCUCACUGUCGAAUGAUGGCGGACAUGAAAACGACUAGCAGCACUAGAUACCGUCAAAACUAAGGGAUGUAAGAAAUACUCUUCCCUCGAUCAUGGAUCCCCUUGGAAAAAUAAGGAAUCUAGCUACUACCUCUUAUUUUUAUCUCGUUCUCCAUCCAUUUAAAUUUUUAAAUUUUCUUUCUAGUUACGACGCGGCUGGAGAAACCAAGUGAUGUCCGGUCGACGGAAGCAAAGUUAGCAAAAUCAGAGUAUCGGAAUUACCAGCGGCAUCCGCUUGAUCCAGCGAACAGAGCAAAUGAACUACAUCCAAAUAAAGAGACUGGAUACUGAAAUGUAUGGUUUUAAACAAGCGUGUUGGCUAGAGCUAUUUGAUUCAACCUAUGGGAUUCACCAUGAUCAUUGUGGAAUCUGUCAUCACUUUCAGGUGCUGUGCUUCCAGAUAGCCAGGACCGAAGACAAGGGUCAAUCCUUUUACAGUCCAAAGUUGUAAUCAACAAGGCCAAACAGAUAGCAACAUGAUCGACCAGGUACGACAGGAAAGCAGCAUCAGCCUCCAGUUGAAAAGCUAGUCGCUGAUGGACUGAUUCAACAAGCAAAUCCAACAGCGACGCCCUAUGCAGUUGCUGCUGCCACGUCCUAUUCGGCACCAACCCCAUCCCAAAUCGCUAAUCUAAGUGUAGAAGCAUCGCCUCUAGUUUGACUGCCCAGCAGAUUCAGACGCUUAUCCCUUCACCAAGUCAUUCCUCAUCCAAGGAACGUGGAACUGCGAUCGUGGUUCCAGCAUUCUGCACAAGUUAGAAGAAAAGACAAAGCUACAAAGUCCAGCGUUCUGAGCAAGACGAAGCAAUGAAAUGUUUCACAGCGCAUCACAAACAACUUAGCUGAAGAUUCACAAGCGGAUACCAACGAUGGCAAAAGAAGAGCGUGAAGUAGGAAGAAAUUGCCUCAAACAAACUAAAAAAAGUGAAGAAGGUUUUGAUGUGCAGUUUCGUUAACAACAAAAAAAACCAAUGCAGACUUAUCCAAUCUACCUUGAAGACAAAAUGGAAAAGUCUUCCUUACAAGGGUGGAGAAAAACCGAAGCUACAAAUUAACACACCCAUUCUAUUUUGCUUCAUGUCAAGCUUUUAUAAAUUUUAAGUGUGAUUGAUAAAUAUUUAUGUAUUGUGUAAAAACUAAGUUGAAAAAUAAAACACAUGAAAACAUU
rnacentral:lncRNA from 1 species